rnacentral:tRNA from 1 species
AUUUAAAUAGCUUAAUUUAGAGUAUUACGUUGAAGUUGUAAGGGUGAUUAUUAAAUCUUUAAAUG